AUUAUACCGUGAAACUGCGAAUGGCUCAUUAAAUCAGUUAUCGUAUAUUUGAUAGUACCGUCACGUACUUGGAUACCAGUGGUAAUUCUAGAGCUAAUACGUGCUACAAUCCCCGACUCUGAAGGGGUGCGUAUAUCAAUCAAAAAACCAUCGCCCUCUGGGUUGUUUGGUGAAUCAUGGUAUCCGAGCGAAUCGCAUGGCCUUGAGCCUGCGAUGGUUCAUUCAAAUUUCUGCCCUAUCAACUUUCGAUGGUAAGGUCUUGGCCUACCAUGGUAUCAACGGGUAACGGGGAAUUAGGGUUCGAUUCCGGAGAGGGAGCCUGAAAAACGGCUACCACAUCCAAGGAAGGCAGCAGGCGCGCAAAUUACCCAAUCCCAACACGGGGAGGUAGUGACAAUAAAUACUGAUACAGGGCUCUUUCGGGUCUUGUAAUUGGAAUGAGUGCAACUCAAAUCCCUCAACGAGGAACAAUUGGAGGGCAAGUCUGGUGCCAGCAGCCGCGGUAAUUCCAGCUCCAAUAGCGUAUAUUAAAGUUGUUGCAGUUAAAAAGCUCGUAGUUGAAUCUUGGGCCCGGCCGGCCGGUCCGCCUAACCGCGUGCACUGGUGCGGCCGGGCCCUUCCCUCUGGAGAACCGCAUGCCCUUCGCUGGGCGUGUCGGGGAACCAGGACUUUUACUUUGAAAAAAUUAGAGUGUUCAAAGCAGGCCUAUGCCCAGAUACAUUAGCAUGGAAUAAUGAAAUAGGACGUCGCGGUCCUAUUUUGUUGGUUUCUAGAACCGCCGUAAUGAUUAAUAGGGACAGUCGGGGGCGUCCGUAUUCAGCCGCGAGAGGUGAAAUUCUUAGACCGGCUGAAGACGAUCUACUGCGAAAGCAUUCGCCAAGGAUGUUUUCAUUAAUCAGUGAACGAAAGUUGGGGGAUCGAAGACGAUCAGAUACCGUCGUAGUUUCAACCGUAAACUAUGCCGACUAGGGAUCGGGCGGCGCUCAACUGUUGACCCGCCCGGCACCUUACGAGAAAUCAAAGUCUUGGG
rnacentral:rRNA from 1 species